rnacentral:rRNA from 1 species
AUUGAACGCUGGCGGCAGGCCUAACACAUGCAAGUCGAGCGAGCGGCGGACGGGGGAGGAAUGUCUGGGAAACCGCCUGAGGGAGGGGGAUAACUACGGGAAACGGGAGCUAAUACCGCAUAACAUCAGAUGUGCCCAGAUGGGAUGAGCUAGUAGGUGGGGUAAUGGCUCACCUAGGAGACGAUCCCUAGCUGGUCUGAGAGGAUGACCAGCCACACUGGACCUGAGACACGGGCCAGACUCCUCCGGGAGGCAGCAGUGGGGAAUAUUGCACAAUGGGCGCAAGCCUGAUGCAGCCAUGCCGCGUGUAUGAAGAAGGCCUUCGGGUUGUAAAGUACUUUCAGCGGGGAGGCGUUACCCGCAGAAGAAGCACCGGCUAACUCCGUGCCAGCAGCCGCGGUAAUAC